UACGUAGGGCGCAAGCGUUGUCCGGAAUUAUUGGGCGUAAAGAGCUCGUAGGCGGCUUGUUGCGUCGGUUGUGAAAGCCCGGGGCUUAACCCCGGGUCUGCAGUCGAUACGGGCAGGCUAGAGUGUGGUAGGGGAGAUCGGAAUUCCUGGUGUAGCGGUGAAAUGCGCAGAUAUACGGAGGAACACCAGCGGCGAAGGCGGGUAGCUGGGCCAACACUGACGCUGAUGUGCGAAAGCUAGGGGAGCAAACGGG
rnacentral:rRNA from 1 species